GGCUCAGUGGUCUAGUGGUAUGAUUCCUGCUUCGGGUGUUCGAAAACCCUUCCAUCUCACAUGGGAAUGCAGGAGGCCCCGGGUUCGAAUCCCGGCUGAGCCC